rnacentral:antisense_RNA from 1 species
CGGGGGGGAGGGGUGGCGAGGCGAGGCCUACGGAGCGGAGGAAGACACUUAAAGAUGAAGUGCUUAAUUCAAGGUCACAGAAUGUCGGGGAUGGACCUCCAGAUUUCCUUACUGUACUUAUCCUGUAUUACAUGAGGGAAAUGAAAUAAAAAGACUGCAACCCUCCUCCCAGCUACUCUAGUGAGGUGGUAGCUAGAGACAGAGUCUUCUUGCUAUGUUGCCCAGGCUGGUCUUGAACUCCUAACCUCAAGCGAUCCUCCCAUCUUGGCCUCCCAGGUGUCAGGAUUACAGGCAUGUGCUAUCACACCCAACCUGAUACAUUGCCUUUAUAAAUUUUUUUUUCUUUAUUCUAAAAAACAGAAAAAACAAAACUGGAUACAUGUGCAGAACAUGCAGGUUUGUUACAUAGCUGUACGUGUGCCAUGGUGGUUUGCUGCACCUAUUGACCUAUCCUGUGAGACGUGGUCUUGUAACACAGUGGUUAAGAAUGUGACUUUGGAGCCAGCCUGCUAGGGGCUGAAUUCUGACUCAGCCAUUUAUUAACUGUGUGACCUUAGAUGGAGUCUCACUCUGUAGCCCAAGCUGGAGUGGCGUGAUCUCGACUCACUGCAACCUCCGCCUCCUGGGCUCAAGUGAUUCUCGUGCCUCAGCCUCCUGAGUAGCUGGGACUACAGGUCAUAGAAUUUUCCACACUCCUUGACGGAGGUUCUUAACCCUUAUCCAUCAGCAUUCUCAGACAGCACCUCCGGUUAGGGACAGUAUCUGACCGUCCGACAUCCCUGCAGCCCCCAUGCUGUCACACAGACUCAGCCUCAGGUAGAUGGUUUCCGUAGAUGGUGGCUUUCUUUGGACCCUUGAUAUCAACCAGUUACUA